rnacentral:rRNA from 1 species
CCUACGGGAAGGCAGCAGUAGGGAAUAUUGGACAAUGGGCGCAAGCCUGAUCCAGCCAUGCCGCGUGAGUGAUGAAGGCCUUCGGGUUGUAAAGCUCUUUUGUCCGGAAAGAAAAGCUUCGGGUCAAUACCCCGGAGUCCUGACGGUACCGGAAGAAUAAGCACCGGCUAACUUCGUGCCAGCAGCCGCGGUAAUACGAAGGGUGCAAGCGUUACUCGGAAUUACUGGGCGUAAAGCGUGCGUAGGCGGUUUGUUAAGUCUGAUGUGAAAGCCCUGGGCUCAACCUGGGAAUGGCAUUGGAUACUGGCAGGCUAGAGUGCGGUAGAGGGUAGUGGAAUUCCCGGUGUAGCAGUGAAAUGCGUAGAGAUCGGGAGGAACAUCUGUGGCGAAGGCGACUACCUGGACCAGCACUGACACUGAGGCACGAAAGCGUGGGGAGCAAACAGGAUUAGAUACCCUGGUAGA